GAGGGAGAUGGGCCUGGAUGCUGGAAACUAGAGAGAAGAGAGCUGGGAUAAAACUAUUGUGUGGGAUGCAGCAGAAGAGACUGCACUUGCCGAGAUCCUGUGUUUUGCUUUUACUAUAGGAUUGACUACAAGCAUUGGCAUUGGUGUGAGACCCCAAGCACAACUGACCUGGCGGAGAAAUAGAAAUACAGCCACAGAGAAAAUCUUCGUAGUAUUGCCUUGCUGUGUCUGAUUUAGAUACAUAUACUGUUUGGUCCUCGGAGACAAUAAAUAUUAAAGACCUGAGGGUGAAGACAUCACAGGAUUGGACCCUGGAUCAUUGUCAUCCCUGUCAUGGAAUACACUCAGAGAAAUUUGUGGUGAAACAGAUUUUUGGCACUCAGACUGUGUGUUACCUGGGAAAGGUUCUGCUGGUGAAUAAUUCAAGGUCAUCUUUGAUUUUUGUAUCUGCAUCUUUGAAAUAUGUGAUUAUAAUGAGUUUUGUCAUGUAUCUAGCAUCUGUUAAAAUGGGGCCUGCUUUUUAUGUUACAAAUAUGCACAAUCUCCAUGACUGGAGAAGAAAAUUGGAUAAUUGUCUGUACAAAUCACUAAUUAUGGACACUGGCUUAUAUAUUUAUCUUUGUUGUGAAUCCCUUCACAAUAAUUGCACAUGCAAAUGGGAUUUGCAUACACAAUUCCAUA